AACGCUGGCGGCGUGCCUAACACAUGCAAGUCGAACGGAAGUUAGAGCUUCGGUUUUAACUUUAGUGGCGAACGGGUGAGUAACGCGUGAGGAACCUGCCUUCCAGUGGGGGACAACAGUUGGAAACGACUGCUAAUACCGCAUAACACUUUAGUACCGCAUGGUACAGAAGUCAAAGAUUUAUCGGCAAAGGAUGGGCCUGCGUCUGAUUAGCUAGUUGGUGGGGUAACGGCCUACCAAGGCGACGAUCAGUAGCCGACCUGAGAGGGUGAUCGGCCACAUUGGAACUGAGACACGGUCCAAACUCCUACGGGAGGCAGCAGUGGGGAAUAUUGCACAAUGGGCGAAAGCCUGAUGCAGCAACGCCGCGUGAAGGAAGAAGGUCUUCGGAUCGUAAACUUCUGUCCUUAGGGAAGAUAAUGACGGUACCUUGGAGGAAGCCCCGGCUAACUACGUG
rnacentral:rRNA from 1 species